AUUGCUCACUCUCCCUCAAGGGCUUCUGUAUGUACAUUUUCUGGUUGAAACGAUCAGUUAAGUGUUUACACAGAGGUCCUUAGGAAGAGUGGAUAA
rnacentral:pre_miRNA from 1 species